rnacentral:rRNA from 1 species
AUGCACCGGCGAUGGGGGCCGCGCCGGCGUUCUGCCCGGCUGCAAGCCCUUGGAGGCCGACGGGAUCUCAUCGGCGCGCUCCCCGACGACCUGCUUAUCCUCGUCCUCGACCGCCUCCACUGCGCCGCCGCCGUCGCGCGCACCGGCGUCCUCUCCCGCCGGUGGCGCAGCCUCUGGGCCCGCCUCCGCCAGAUCGUCUUCCGCGACGUCCCGUACUGCUCGCUCGAAGCGGCGCUCGGCCGCCUCCCUAGUCCCCCGCCCGCUGUUUGCCUCCUCGACAUCCGCAUCCCCCAGCGCGUCCCUGAGGACCAGCGCGCCGACGAGGCCAGCGUCAAGUCGCUGCUCUGCGCAGCGGCGCUGCUCGAGCCGGAGAAGUUCGUCUUUGAGAUCCCCUCCGAUUCGGGGUUAAUCCACGGCUCCCUCGUCGUCAACCUGCCUUGUUUCCAACGCGCCACCUCCAUCGUGCUGAACCUUCGCUACGUCUUCCUCCGCGUGCCAGCCGGCGCCGAGUUUGCCGCACUCGAGACGCUGUCCCUCUCGUACUGCACCGUUGCCAUUGACCGCUUGCUCUCCUGCUGCCCACGCCUGCGCAAGCUCUACCUCGCUACUAUCCUUCAAUAA